GCAAGUCGAACGCGAAAGCAAUCUUCGGAUUGUUAGUACAGUGGCGGACGGGUGAGUAACGCGUAGGAAUCUACCUAGUAGUGGGGGACAACUCGAGGAAACUCGAGCUAAUACCGCAUACGCUCUUAGGAGGAAAGUGGGGGAUCUUCGGACCUUACGCUAUUAGAGGAGCCUGCGUUAGAUUAGCUUGUUGGUGAGGUAAAGGCUCACCAAGGCGACGAUCUAUAGCUGGUCUGAGAGGACGAUC
rnacentral:rRNA from 1 species